AAAAAACCUGUGAGCAAGAAUAGUAGGUUUUUCCAAAGCUUUCAGAGAGUCAGCGGUUGGUGUAAGCUGACAGCAGAGGAUUUGCCGAAUGGACUUGUGAGGGCGGGUCGAAAGCCUUUUGGCAAGUAGUUUCCGACGGAGCUCAACCGUUAAAGUGAGAGGCAUAUGUUAGUAUGCUGUUAAAGCGGGCGUUUAUCGUCAAUUUGGGUGGUACCGCAGAAGUUGAUUUUUCAAGACUUUUGUCCCUUGU
rnacentral:ncRNA from 1 species